GAGCGGAUGACGGGAGCUUGCUCCUUGAUUCAGCGGCGGACGGGUGAGUAAUGCCUAGGAAUCUGCCUGGUAGUGGGGGACAACGUUUCGAAAGGAACGCUAAUACCGCAGACGUCCUACGGGAGAAAGCAGGGGACCUUCGGGCCUUGCGCUAUCAGAUGAGCCUAGGUCGGAUUAGCUAGUUGGUGGGGUAAUGGCUCACCAAGGCGACGAUCCGUAACUGGUCUGAGAGGAUGAUCAGUCACACUGGAACUGAGACACGGUCCAGACUCCUACGGGAGGCAGCAGUGGGGAAUAUUGGACAAUGGGCGAAAGCCUGAUCCAGCCAUGCCGCGUGUGUGAAGAAGGUCUUCGGAUUGUAAAGCACUUUAAGUUGGGAGGAAGGGCAGUAAGUUAAUACCUUGCUGUUUUGACGUUACCGACAGAAUAAGCACCGGCUAACUCUGUGCCAGCAGCCGCGGUAAUACAGAGGGUGCAAGCGUUAAUCGGAAUUACUGGGCGUAAAGCGCGCGUAGGUGGUUUGUUAAGUUGGAUGUGAAAGCCCCGGGCUCAACCUGGGAACUGCAUCCAAAACUGGCAAGCUAGAGUACGGUAGAGGGUGGUGGAAUUUCCUGUGUAACGAUGAAAUGCGUAGAUAUAGGAAGGAACACCACUGGCGAAGGCGACCACCUGGACUGAUACUGACACUGAGGUGCGAAAGCGUGUGGAGCAAACACGAUUAGAUACCCUGGUAGUCCACGCCGUAAACGAUGUCAACUAGCCGUUGGAAUCCUUGAGAUUUUAGUGGCGCAGCUAACGCAUUAAGUUGACCGCCUGG
rnacentral:rRNA from 1 species